AUGCUUCGGUCCAUGUUUGGACUGGCAUUUCACUCCACAUUUGCAGAAAUUCAGACAACCAUAGAAAGCUUGCAAAUUAGCAAAUGUUUGGCGUGUAGGAGAGCGGUGCUAACUCUCUCCUAUUGCGAUUUGCGAACCCUCUGCUCCAUGGCGACGACAGGGCGAAGCUUCUAUCCCCGUGGUAGUCUUGGUAGCUGCAGUUCCAAGCUAACGAUCUACUCCAAGACCUAUGUUGACAAUGACCUUGCCCCGAUGCCCUGCCAACCUAACCUUCCUCGGUGGAAGGAAGCCUUGUGCGGUACCCUCCACCAGCCAUCCGUCGUGCUGGUUGGUGCCUUCCAGGCAUCCGCAACGCCUAUGCCUAGCCAAGUGCGUAGCGAACCGAGAACAGACGGCCUGGAAUCGUAUUGCUGUCAAAAGCAAAAGCGAAUGAUUGUUCAUCGGAACUGUUAUGGUCCGACUACUCAUAAGGUUGGGUCUGCAAACAUUGUGUGGCACCUCGACCCACCAAAUCUUGCGUUCAACCCAUGGCUCUGA
rnacentral:rRNA from 1 species